AAUACUUGAUAAAAAAAAAGAAGAUGUCUACAAACAUAGGCUAUUUGAGUUCUUUUAUUUUCUUCCUACUUUCUUUUGUGACUUAUACUUAUGCUACCUCUUUUGUGGUCCGAAACAACUGUCCAUACACCGUCUGGGCGGCAUCGACUCCGAUAGGCGGUGGCCAACGUCUCGAUCAAGGCCAAACUUGGACCAUCAAUGCACCGAGGGGCACUAAGAUGGCACGUAUAUGGGGUCGUACUAAAUGCAACUUUGAUGGUGCUGGUAGAGGUUCUUGUGAGACUGGUGAUUGUAGUGGAGUCUUGCAGUGUAAUUGGGUGGGGUAAACCGCCAAACACCCUGGCCGAAUACGCCUUGAACCAGUUUAACAACCUAGAUUUCUGGGACAUUUCUUUAGUCGAUGGAUUUAAUAUACCGAUGACUUUCGCCCCAACCAAUCCUAGUGGAGGAAAAUGCCACUCAAUUCAAUGCACCGCCAAUAUAAAUGGUGAAUGCCCUAGUCAACUUAAAGUAUCCGGAGGAUGUAACAAUCCUUGUACCACGUUUGGAGGACAACAAUAUUGUUGCACCGAAGGUCCAUGUAAUCCUACUGAGUGGUCGAAAAUUUUCAAACAGAGAUGCCCUGAUGCCUAUAGCUACCCACAAGAUGAUGCUACUAGCACAUUUGCUUGCCCUAGUGACACUACAAAUUAUAAGGUUGUUUUUUGCCCAUAAUUAAUGCCACAAUAUAAAGCAUAUUUUGCUACAAAUUAUAUGGUAUGAAAAAAUACCAAAAUAAUAAGUAUCUUAAAAGGUUUGUUAAAUUAUUUAUGUUGGGUGUGAUAAUAAUAUCUUAUGUGUGUAAUGUAUACACACUCCCUUCAACUUAUAUAUUUUGAUCAUUGAUGAA